rnacentral:rRNA from 1 species
AGAGUUUGAUCCUGGCUCAGAACGAACGCUGGCGGCGUGCCUAACACAUGCAAGUCGAGCGCGAAUGGAGCAAUCCUAGUAGAGCGGCGCACGGGUGCGUAACACGUGGAUAAUCUGCCUGGGUGUCUGGGAUAACCAGUCGAAAGAUUGGCUAAUACCGGAUAAGCCCCCGGGAGCUUCGGCUCCUGAGGGAAAAGGUGGCCUCUGUAUACAAGCUAUCACAUCCAGAUGAGUCCGCGGCCCAUCAGCUAGUUGGCGGGGUAAUGGCCCACCAAGGCAACGACGGGUAGCUGGUCUGAGAGGACGAUCAGCCACACUGGAACUGAGACACGGUCCAGACUCCUACGGGAGGCAGCAGUGGGGAAUUUUGCGCAAUGGGCGAAAGCCUGACGCAGCAACGCCGCGUGUGUGAUGAAGGUCUUCGGAUUGUAAAGCACUUUCGACCGGGACGAAAACCCUGAAGCCAACACCUUCAGGCUUGACGGUACCGGGAGAAGAAGCACCGGCUAACUCUGUGCCAGCAGCCGCGGUAAUACAGAGGGUGCAAGCGUUGUUCGGAAUUAUUGGGCGUAAAGCGCGUGUAGGCGGCUUUGCAAGUCGGGUGUGAAAGCCCUCAGCUCAACUGAGGAAGUGCGCCCGAAACUGCAGAGCUUGAGUGCCGGAGAGGGUGGCGGAAUUCCCCAAGUAGAGGUGAAAUUCGUAGAUAUGGGGAGGAACACCGGUGGCGAAGGCGGCCACCUGGACGGUAACUGACGCUGAGACGCGAAAGCGUGGGGAGCAAACAGGAUUAGAUACCCUAGUAGUCC